UACGUAGGGUGCAAGCGUUGUCCGGAAUUAUUGGGCGUAAAGAGCUCGUAGGCGGCUUGUCGCGUCGUUCGUGAAAACCUGCAGCUCAACUGCAGGCUUGCGGUCGAUACGGGCAGGCUAGAGUUCGGCAGGGGAGACUGGAAUUCCUGGUGUAGCGGUGGAAUGCGCAGAUAUCAGGAAGAACACCCGUGGCGAAGGCGGCUCUCUGGAACGCAACUGACGCUGAGACGCGAAAGCGUGGGGAGCAAACAGG
rnacentral:rRNA from 1 species